rnacentral:lncRNA from 7 species
UUUGUCCUUAAUGAGAGGGAGAGUGCUUUCUCACCAUUUCCGUUCUUUAGACCAAUUCAUCUGUUCAUCAGUGGACGCGGGCGUAAGUGCACAAAGGUAUUUGCAUGUCAGUGAGGGUUUCAAAAAAUGCCUGAGCUACAGUGAGCCACCGUAUCUUGCCGUUAAAUUCCAUGUCCCUGGUGGAUUUCCCCACGCUGUUGCUAGGAGAUGAAGAUACUGCCUAACAAAGGAAAUAUUGACAAAAAAUUUUCCAGAACGAAUCUAUCUUGUUACAGUAAAUACACUCUCGCAUAAAAAGGAUAUUGCAGGAUUUGUUUCCCCAGUGGUGGCACGGGCAAAAUUGCACACACCGCGUUAAGGUGAAAUUUUCCCAUCACAAAUAUGGCUUUGUUUAGUUUUGUUGAUAUGAGGACUUUCAGUGUAUUUAAAUGCCAGAAGUGCUGUUGCCUUCCAGUGUGUUUGUUGCUAGGAUAAUAUCAUGAAUAUGCCCUAUGUGUUUUUUCCCCUUCCCUUCUCUGCUACUUCUCCCUUUCAGGAAGAAAUGCGCCCUAUUAUGAAGGCUUCCUUUUUUUUUUUUUUCCCCACAACCCUUCUGGGAAGCAUGGAUUCCUUUGUUUAUUUUAAAUCAGGGAAGAAGCGUGCAUGACUCUGGACAUACAAGGAUUUGGCAUGGAAGCAGCUGAGUGCGAUGGAAAAGCAGAUCAGCCUCUUGCUUUACAACUCUAGGCACCUCUACAUUAAAAAAAAAAUUCAUUGGAAAUUUAAUAAAGAGAGGAAUUGGAGGAAUUCUCAUGGAAAGGCUGAAUUUCUAGAAAGUGAUGAGUUUUCUCCCUUUCAUCUGGUGAACAUACAACAGAUCACAACAGCAAAAGCAAACAUGACUUAAAUGACACAAAAUGAAACUUGUUGUCUUUCUUAGAGAAUAAGUUUAGCUCUGGCCUGUGACUUUACUCCCUCAUCCUCAGCCGUCAUGGCAGUUGGCAGUUCCUGUGCCACCACAAGUGUCUCCUUUCUGUCUUGCUUCCUUAACCCAUGUCCAGCUAGGACACGCCACUACCUUUUGCCUCAUGUUGCAGUGCAGAGGUGAUCCCACAGCUGGACAGAAAAAUGUGAGUGAGGAAGGACACAGCACAGCAAGUCUGCAGCUGCUUGAUUUUCACCUCUCGUGAUCAGUCCCCUUUUCUGUGGUGAGAGCAGGCUUGAAUCAGCAUGCUGUAAGUUGGUCAAAUGCAACUGAACUCUGUGUCCCCUAAACUAUACCUCUGCUCACUGAAAGCCGUUCAUAGCACUGUUCAGACAAAUGGCUGGUGACUGGUUUUCCACUCAUCUCUUGAAGAUAUCAGUAUCUAGAAGAUUCCUGUGAUCUGUUCAGGUAUGCUGAAACAGGCAAAGAAUUCCUUAAAUUAUGUAAGCUCCAGAAACAUCAAAAACAGUGGUUUAUUUCCUGAUUCAAAGAUGAGUGCAUAUGUGCUGCAUGCACAAUGCAUGAUAUGCUCCAUAUAAACAGUAUUGAGCUCUUAGAAAGUGUUUUGGUGUCCUAAAAGGAUUUUUUUUUUUAAUAAAUAAACAAUUAAAC